rnacentral:piRNA from 1 species
UUGUGUCUUUUUUUUUUGAAA